UCUCCGUAGGUGAACCUGCGGAGGGAUCAUUACAGAGUUCAUGCCCUACCGGGUAGAUCUCCCACCCUAUGUUAAUAUUACUUUGUUGCUUUGGCGGGCCGUUAGGCUCCGGCCCGACUACCGGCCCCGGCUGGUAAGCGCCCGCCAGAGGACCCAAAACCCUGAAUAUUAGUGUCGUCUGAGUACUAUAUAAUAGUUAAAACUUUCAACAACGGAUCUCUUGGUUCUG
rnacentral:misc_RNA from 1 species